UUUGACUUUUUCAAAAUUAACCGUGGAAGGAAAAAUCUUGGGAGAGUUACAGCGCUUCGCUAUAAUGAAAUAAAAUGCUAGUUAUUUUGAAGCGAACUAAAAAUUGUGAGAAGAACAGGAGGAUUUGAAAAGAGUUUUCAAAAGUUCGAAAGAUUACAUGAUUAAUGUAAAUUUUGGAUUUCCUCGCUGGUUAAUCUUAAUUCAUUACAACUACUGGUAGCAUGAUGAAUCAUCAGGAAUUUAUGCCAGUACUCUGUUAGAAGUUGGUGAAGUGAUUAAUUUUCAAUGAGAUUAAAGCAUAAUUUGUCUUGUGCAAAGGAGAUUAUAAUUUGCUGGCUUGUCAUUUUAAUCUUUAAUCAUAUUUUCGCAAAGGGAUUAAAAU
rnacentral:misc_RNA from 1 species